rnacentral:lncRNA from 1 species
CUCUGACCGUCUGCCGCAUGAUAGGGGUUGGGGCCUCCAGGGCUGAGCAGCACAGCGGGCUGCCACUUUGACCCACUCUGGCGGUCGGCCGCUUCAGUGGGAGGGAGGGCCCCAGGGCUGAGCAGCGCGGCGGGGUGCCUCUUUGACCCACUCUGGCGGUCGGCAGCCAGAGUGGGGGGGGGGCCUCCAGGGCUGAGCAGUGCGGUGGGCUGCCAAUUUGACCCAGUCUUUCUGUCGGCCGCCUGAGUAGAGGGGGGCCCGCCCGGACUGAGCUGCGCGGCGGGCUGCCACUUUGACCCACUCUGGCGGUCGGCCGCCUGAGUGGGGGGUGGCUGCCAGGGCUGAGCAGGGUGGCGGGCUGCCACUUUGAGCCACUCUGCCGGUGCGCCCCCUGAGUGGGGGGGUGGCCGACAGGGCUGAGCAGCGCGGCGGGCUGCCACUUUGACCCACUCUGGCUGUCGUCUGCCUGAGUGGGGUGAGGGACCCCAGGGCUGAGCAGCGCGGCGGGCUGCCACUUUUUCCCACUCUGUCUAUGGGCCGCUUGAGUGGGGGUCGGGCCCGCCAAUGCUCAGCACCUCGGAGGGCUGCCACUUUGACCCACUCUGGCGGUUUGCCGCCUGAGUGGGCGUGGGGCCCCCAGGGCUGAGCAGCACGGCGGGCUGCCUUUUUGACCCACUGUGGUGGUCGGCCUCCUGAGUGGGUGGGGAGGGCCCCCAAGGCUGAGCAGCGCGGCGGGCUGCCACUUUGACCCACACUGGCGGUCGGCCGCAUGAGUGGGAGGAGGGCCCCCAGGGCUGUGCAGCGCUGCGGGCUGCCAAUUUGGGCCACUCUGGCAGUCGGACACCAGAGUGUGUGGGGCGCCCCUAGGGCUGAGCAGCGUGGCGGGCUGCCCCUUUGACCCACUAUGGCGGUCUGCCACCUCAGUCAGGGUGGGGCAGCCAGGGCUGAGCAGCGCGGCGGGCAGCUACUUUGACCCACUCUGGCGGUCGGCCGCCUGAGUGUGGAGAGGUCCCCCAGGGCUGAGCAGCGUGGCGGGCUGCCCCUUUGACCCACUAUGGCGGUCUGCCACCUCAGUCAGGGUGGGGCAGCCAGGGCUGAGCUGCGAGGCGGGCUGCCAAUUUGACCCAGUCUUUCUGUCGGCCGCCUGAGUAGAGGGGGGCCCGCCCGGACUGAGCUGCGCGGCGGGCUGCCACUUUGACCCACUAUGGCGGUCUGCCACCUCAGUCAGGGUGGGGCAGCCAGGGCUGAGCUGCGCGGCGGGCUGCCACUUUGACCCACUCUGGCGGUCGGCCGCCUGAGUGUGGAGAGGGACCCCAGGGCUGAGCAGCGCGGCGGGCUGCCACUUUUACCCAAUUUUCAGAUUUCAGCUAGUGUUCACAUCGUGAUUUCCUCUUCCACUAAUCCAGUUUAUUUCAGUGAAUUCACCUUAGUGAGUUGCUUCAAUUCUCCAAGACUGAUAUAUUUCAAAACCAGUAUGCCUCAUCCUAAUGCAUUACGUUCCCCCCAAAUAAGAGAUCCUACUCUUGAUAUUUUUUUUUUGGUUUAAUUUAUGACAAUCUUAAAUAAAUUCUAGUGAAGUAGCCGAUAUUAUAGCCAAACCACUCUAAUAUCUUAAAACGGUAUUUAUGAAAAUGCGCAUUUUGUGGCAUCAGUUUAAAGAGUGGAGAUGGUGUGUGUUUGUAUGUGUGUAUAUGUAAAUUCAUAUAUACUGUAUGCAUGCAUAUAUGUAUGUAUGUACGCAUAUUAAAUACUAUUUACUAUUUUACAGUUUACACUGUUUAAAUAUAUAGAUGCACAUAUUGCCUCUAUUGCUUUCUUCUUUCUACUAUCUUCCAAAAUCCAAACCCUUCUUUCUUCAGGGUUCAAGAAAUCAAGACGUCGUUUAGAAAAAGAAAAUAAGGCUGAUUUUUAUUGAACGUAUAUGGUGUGCCAAGUUGAUUAACCGUUGGUAAACAUUAGGAUCACUGGAUCGAUUUUAGCUUUUCAGUUUCUCUUUUGAACAACUCUGUUUUCAAGGGUCCAUAUUUCAUGACUUUUAUUCUUUGAGUCCUUCCAAAGAACAAAAAUAGCCUUUACCUUUUUUCGUAGAAUAUAAUUCAUACUCCCUUGCGAUUAUCAUUUUGGUCCAUUGGAUUCUGUAAAGAAUCUAAAAUGAAUUAUGAGAUCAUGAUUUUAUUUUCUCUGUAUUUGAAACGUUUUUCUAAUUCAUCAUCUUAAGAAUUCUUCCAUCAUUACUCAUGAUUACUCAUCAGUUAUUCCAACUAAGCUGAAAAAAGAUAAGUAAUAAGAAAACAAAAGAAUGGUGAGAUCACUUAGGAGGAGGACACAAGAGUGGAAUAAAUUGUUAUUUUUCUGUGUUUUUAUUGUGUUAUCCAACUAUUGCAUCAUCUUUUAAGAAAGUGUUAGAAAAUACUAGGGGCAGCAUCUCUGUAGUUUGCUUUCAGAUCCACUCAAUAUGAGAAUUAGAAGUUUUUAUUUUCCAACCAUGAUGACAAAGAGAAGAAAUUUCACAUUCCAUAGCCAUAAGGUGAAUACGAUCAGAAGAAUGAAUGAAUGUAAAGGAAAAGAUUGCAGCACUUAGGCUCUAACGGUACGAUGAAAUUUUCAUAUUAAUGAAAUCAGACUAUGUGUCUUCAGAUGACGAUAUUUUAAAUAAAUUUUCUCAAACUUAAGAAUUGAUCCCUAAACAAUGUAUUUCCAAGAAAAAAAAAAUGGAAAUACAGUAUUCUCCUCCAGUUAGUCCUUCAAAGGAAAGUACUUCACGCAACAGUUUGAAAUAAAAAUCUGGACAGUCCCACAUUGUUAAAAGAUGAAAGUAUUCUUUCAUCUCCAGUGAUGUCUAUGGACAAAAAUUUACUGAUUAAAAUAGUUUUACUAUAUUUAAAAUGUAUUAAUAUUUAAUAAAGUUGAUUUCAGUAAGUCUUUAUGAUAUUUGUAAAUUCCUUGUAAAAUGACAUAAAAUUAUAUGAAGUUAAAAUGUGCCCAGAGGGUAAACAGCAAUAACUAUUUGCCCUGUAAUCUGAGGGUUAGAUAUCCCAUCUCAAUUCAUUUUCACAAAAAUUCUCAAGGAAUCAUUAUCCUUUCACCUCCACUUUGAGUUAACUCGUCUAAGACUACAGCAUAAGACAACAUUAAAGGCAAAAUUUUAGCGCAAAUUUCCUAAUCUUGAAUUACACAUUGCUUCACUUAUGCCGUGGUACCUCGCUUCAAAGGAGAAAAAACACUUACCUAUGUCCUCUGAUAACUCUGAGGACCUCUUUCGAAAGAAGUCGGACAGAGAUGAUAUUUAAUAUUCAAAGGAAUAAUGGAAAUUGAAAUCUGCAUUUCUUUAUCACUUUCACAUUGUGGAUAUUUAUUUACUGAACAAUUUCCAUAACCUUGUGAUAAUGUGUCGUAUUCAGACAAGUAAAAGGAGAAGCCCAUGUUAUGCUUGUCCUCAAAAUAAUCUUCUUAGUUAGGACACUAUAGCUUAAUUUCCCAGAAAAGUUAUAAGACUUUGUAGGAGUUCCCAGGAAUGGUCCAGAUUGAACCCUGUAGAAUGUUAGGCAACAAGUAGAUUCAAGUGCCUUAAAAAUCAUCUAGUGAAGCAUCCGAGAAUGUAAUUCCCCUUAUGGAGGAAAAAUAUUACAUGGUACGAUUAGAUUUUGAUGAAUAGAAGAUAGAAGGUAACCAGCUGGUUUAAAUUAUGUUGUAAAUCUAGUAAACUAAAGGAAUAAAUAUAUUAGUACAUUGCUUUCAUGUUAUAGGUUUUGUGCAGAUGUUUGCUGAAUAAACUAAUCACUAAUUUAGAAAGAGAUCACUGCUCAGCAAUGAUGGUUAAUUUUUUGUGACAACUCAACUGGACUAAGGGAUGCCCAGGGAGCUGGUAAAACGUUAUUUGUGGGUGUGUCUAUGAAGGUGUCUCUGGAAGAUAUUAGCAUUUGAAUCAGUAGGCUGAGUGAAAAAGAUCAUCCUCACCAAUGUGGGUAGGCAUCAUUGUAUACCUUGGGGGCCUGAAUAGAACAAAAAGGUAGCGGAGGGCAAAUUUGUUCUCUGUUGAGGUGGGACAUCUGUCUUCUCCUGCUCUUGAAUUUCAG